UACGUAGGGUCCAAGCGUUAUCCGGAUUUACUGGGUAUAAAGGGCGAGUAGACGGUUUAGCAAGUCAGAUGUGAAAACUUGGAGCUCAACUCCAAGCCUGCAUCUGAAACUGUUAGACUAGAGUGCAGGAGAGGUAAGCGGAAUUCCUAGUGUAGCGGUGAAAUGCGUAGAUAUUAGGAGGAACACCAGUGGCGAAGGCGGCUUACUGGACUGUAACUGACGUUGAGGAGCGAAAGUGUGGGGAGCAAAC
rnacentral:rRNA from 1 species